AAUAGUGGACGUAUCUGAGGCGGCUGACAGACGACAGGCUGGUCCGGAGCGGUGUCUCCAAGCGCAACCAUGAAGUUGAAGGACACAAAAUCGAAGCAAAAGCUACCACAUCAUAACAAAUUUCAAACAAAAGGCAUUAAAGUUGUGGGAAAAUGGAAGCAGGUGCAGAUUGACCCGAAUAUGUUUGCAGAUGGACAAAUGGAUGACUUAGUGUGCUUUGAGGAACUGACAGAUUACCGGUUGGUCUCCCCUGCCAAGAAUCCCUCCAGUCUCUUUUCAGAGGAUCCCAAGAAGCAAAAGGCACAAAUAGUUUCAGAAGAGGAAGAAGGAGAGUCUAGCUCCCCAAAGAAAAAGAUCAGAUUGAAGAAGAAUAAAGAUAUGGUGCUGGUUACUGAAGAAACCUCCACCCAGAAAGAGCUUGAGGUUGAAGAUGGUGAACCAAAGCCCCAGGGCAGUGAUGUCACUGUUUGUCCUGGUCCAGAGGAAAGGAAGAUAGUAUCAGAAACCCUGGUACAGACUGUUCCAAAAAAGAAGAAAAACAAGGGGGAAAAAAAAUCAGAGCCUUCUCAAAACACUGCCCCUAAGGUGCCAAAAAAAGCUAAGACAUGGAUGCCUGAAGUACAUGACCAGAAAGCAGAUGUAUCAGCCUGGAAGGACUUGUUUGUGCCCAAGCCAGUUCUCCAAGCACUCAGCUUUCUCGGUUUCUCUGCACCUACACCAAUCCAAGCCCUGACCUUGGUGCCCGCCAUUCGUGACAGGUUGGACAUCCUUGGGGCUGCCGAGACAGGAAGUGGGAAGACCCUUGCCUUUGCCAUCCCAAUGAUUCAUGCAGUGUUGCAGUGGCAGAAGAAGAAGACCUUGCCCACCCCAAGUAACACCGGACUGCCACUUGGAGAAGCUGGAUCACCAAGUAAGGCUGGAACUGAGUCUGGAGUGUUGCCUGAUGAUGAGACUGCAGUUGAGACUGUAGCACUCCCCAGUGAUGCUGAGUCUAAGGCCAGAGCCAAAACAGUUGCCCCCAUCUCAGACCAGCCGUUGCCCUGUGAUGAUGAUGCUGGUGAAGGGCCCUCUCUGAUGGAAGAGAAGCCUGUCCCCAAACUGAUGGAGGAUGGAGAAGAAAUGCUUGAUGGAGAACAUAUGGGCGAGUUCAAACAAGAGUUGGAUAGCAAAACUGCUCUCUGUAAAACACAUCCAGGGCGUCCUCUGCUUGGACUGGUGCUGACUCCUACACGAGAGCUGGCCAUCCAGGUCAAACAGCAUAUUGAUGCUGUGGCCAGGUUUACAGGGAUUAAAACUGCUAUUUUGGUUGGUGGAAUGUCUACACAGAAACAGCAGAGGAUGUUGAACCGUCAUCCUGAGAUUGUGAUUGCCACGCCAGGACGGCUCUGGGAGCUUGUUAAAGAAAAGCACCCUCAUUUAAGCAACCUUCGGCAGCUCAGGUGCCUGGUAGUGGAUGAGGCAGACCGGAUGGUUGAGAAAGGCCAUUAUGCUGAGUUGUCACAGCUGCUGGAGAUGCUGAAUGGCUCCCAGUACAACCCAAAGAGACAGACACUUGUUUUUUCUGCUACCCUGACCCUGGUACAUCAAGUUCCUGCUCGACUUCUUCAUAAGAAGCAUGUUAAAAAAAAUGGACAAAACUGCCAAACUUGACCUCCUCAUGCAGAAGAUUGGCAUGAGGGGCAAGCCUAAAGUCAUUGAUCUCACAAGGAAUGAGGGCACAGUAGAGUCGCUGACAGAGACCAAGAUCCAUUGUGAGACAGAGGAGAAAGACUUUUACCUGUAUUACUUCCUGAUGCAGUACCCAGGCCGCAGUUUAGUGUUUGCCAACAGCAUCUCCUGCAUCAAACGCCUCUCCGGACUCCUCAAAGUCCUAGAUAUCAUGCCGUUGACGCUCCAUGCCUGCAUGCACCAGAAGCAGAGGCUCAGGAACCUGGAGCAGUUUGCCCGACUCGAAGAUUGUGUUCUCUUGGCAACGGAUGUGGCAGCCCGAGGUCUGGAUAUUCCUAAAGUGCAGCAUGUCAUCCAUUACCAGGUCCCUCGAACCUCGGAGAUUUACAUCCACCGAAGUGGUCGGACUGCUCGUGCCACCAGUGAAGGCCUCAGCCUGAUGCUCAUUGGGCCUGAGGAUGUAGUCAACUUUAAAAAGAUUUACAAGACCCUGAAGAAAGAUGAGGACAUCCCACUCUUCCCUGUGCAGACAAAGUACAUGGAUAUAGUCAAGGAGCGAAUCCGCCUAGCUCGACAGAUUGAGAAAGCUGAGUACCGGAACUUCCAGGCUUGUCUGCAUAACUCUUGGAUUGAGCAGGCAGCAGCUGCCCUCGAGAUUGAACUAGAAGAAGAUAUGUAUAAAGGAGGAAAAGUAGACCAGCAAGAAGAGCGUCGGCGACAGAAGCAGAUGAAGGUCCUGAAGAGAGAGCUGCACCAUCUGCUUUCCCAGCCAUUGUUCAAGGACCACCUCAAAACCAGGUACCCCACUCAGUCCGGCAGGCCUCCUCUGCCCAUGGCUGCCCCGAGGAAUGGCGAGUCUGCAUUGAGCUGCCUCUCCAGACAGAAGAAGAAACCCAGACGACAGCAGCAGCAGGGACCACCGCAGCCAAGUACAAGUGCACUGUGAUGGCUGCAGUCAGCUGCAGUGGCGCCUGCACGGUGCUGUCAGUUCUCUGCUGAUCUGUGAAUCUCUCACUCCACCACUCUCAUUAAGAAAAUCUGCUCUUCCACCCUGUAGCAGGAGAGACCCCAUGCAGAUUUGUGUUGUGCAGUAAGAAUUCUAUGCAGUACCUUCCUCUUCGUAUUCCAGAGUUUGCAGGCUUCU